CCUACGGGAGGCAGCAGUGAGGAAUAUUGGUCAAUGGACGAGAGUCUGAACCAGCCAAGUAGCGUGAAGGAUGACUGCCCUAUGGGUUGUAAACUUCUUUUAUAUGGGAAUAAAAUGUUCCACGUGUGGGAUUUUGUAUGUACCAUAUUAAUAAGGAUCGGCUAACUCCGUGCCAGCAGCCGCGGUAAUACGGAGGAUCCGAGCGUUAUCCGGAUUUAUUGGGUUUAAAGGGAGCGUAGGUGGAUUGUUAAGUCAGUUGUGAAAGUUUGCGGCUCAACCGUAAAAUUGCAGUUGAAACUGGCAGUCUUGAGUACAGUAGAGGUGGGCGGAAUUCGUGGUGUAGCGGUGAAAUGCUUAGAUAUCACGAAGAACUCCGAUUGCGAAGGCAGUUCACUGGACUGCAACUGACACUGAGGCUCGAAAGUGUGGGUAUCAAACAGGAUUAGAUACCCCUGUAGUC
rnacentral:rRNA from 1 species